GGAAGAUUGGCUGAGAGGCUUAAGGCACUGGUUUGCUAAACCAGCGUGGGGCUUAUGCCCCACCAAGGGUUCGAAUCCCUUAUCUUCCGC
rnacentral:tRNA from 1 species